rnacentral:lncRNA from 12 species
GGAUGGCCAGUGCACCCUCCUUGUUCCGUUCGCUCCUCAGCAAUGUCUGAAGCCUCCUCUUUAAUUGCCAGGCCGAAGCGGUACCGGUGGACAGUGCCUGACCACAGUGAGGUGGAACUGAAGGUCCACUCCUCCACCAAACAGCCAGGGCAGUUUGAGCAGACACUGAGGUUUGAGCUCGUGGAGUCAAAGCGCCAGUACGAGCUGCCCUGCAGUGGCACGGGCCUGUACCCCAGCAUCAGCCAGAACACACGGCUGGUGUUUCCACAGUGGAGGGAGACCAUGGAGGCAGAUGAAAUCGUCUUCAAGGAAUAUGUUGAGAGCACAAAGCAAUUCCACUUUGGACCUCUGCUGUGUGGGAAAUCAAGAGAGUGGUACAAGUCCCAGAACCAUCUUGGCAACUGGGAGAAUAUAACCAUCCUCAACAACUCCCCCAUGGAUAUAGAGGUCCACUUCUGCUUUGAGAAUGAUGGGGAAGCAGACACGUUCCUCUUGGACCCUCCCAGCAUGACACUGAAACCAAAGGAGAAGCAGGUAGAAGAAGGGCAGGCAGGGCAGGCACUGUAGAAGUGCCCAGGAGCUGCUGCUCCUGCUCACACACAGUGCUGUUUCUAUUUCUUUCUGUGGGGCUGGGUCCAGAAGCUGACCAUUUGGGCAUUCCCCACUUCCUAUGGCUUCCUGGAAGACAGACUCGUCUGCUGCAUUGAGAAGAACCCAGAGCCAGUGGUCUUCAGCCUGUGCUGCCAUGGGGUGCAGGUGAAGCUGGACAUCAGCCCCCGGGAAAAGGAGAAGCAGGUAGAAGAAGGGCAGGCAGGGCAGGCACUGUAGAAGUGCCCAGGAGCUGCUGCUCCUGCUCACACACAGUGCUGUUUCUAUUUCUUUCUGUGGGGCUGGGUCCAGAAGCUGACCAUUUGGGCAUUCCCCACUUCCCAUGGCUUCCUGGAAGACAGACUCGUCUGCUGCGUUGAGAAGAACCCAGAGCCAGUGGUCUUCAGCCUGUGCUGCCAUGGGGUGCAGGUGAAGCUGGACAUCAGCCCCCGGGAACUGUCUUUUGACAAGCUGCUUCUGCACGGGUCAGUCAUCCCACAAGCACUCCAAGACUUGUGACAAAGAUAAAAUGCAUGACUCUGGUUUCCAGGACAUGGAUGGAGCUGCUUCGAGUUGCAUUCAGUGGUGAAGCUGGUGUGACCAUUCAGCAGGUAAUGCCAAGUGCUUUCCUGUCUCUGCAGGACUGACAGCAGGACCUUGGUCCUGAGAAAUGACAACCUGCUGCCCAUGGCCUGGCAGUUCAGUGGGCUGGAUGACAUUGUUGAGGCCUUCUCCUUGUCUCAAGAUAACGGCACCAUUGAUCCCCGCUCAGAGUUUGAAGUGACAGUGCAUUUCAGGGCUGGGAAGACUGGCCUCAUUAGCGCUCAGAGUUUGAAGUGACAGUGCAUUUCAGGGCCGGGAAGACUGGCCUCAUUAGGAAGACCCUCCGACUAGAGGUGAGAGGGACUGUGCCCUGCCCUGCAGCCGUGUGCUCUUAGAGACAGUCUAGAAGAACUGCACCUGACAGACACAAGAGUGCUGUGACCCCAACCUCUGCCUCUACACAGUGUUUGCCAGGACGUGC